rnacentral:rRNA from 1 species
AUGUGACCUCAAAUCAGGUAGGACUACCCCCUGAACUUAA